CUGCAUGCUGUAACACGUCCUCCAGCUCCAGACGUCCACCGCGUCCUUCAGAGGGCUUGGGAGAAGCCUGAAAUACACACAAAACCUCAGCAGGAGGCAGUGUGAGCCUUUGGGACUCUCUCCAUGAACGUCACCAACUCCUCCAUGAGCAACCUGACACCAAAACCAGUUACUACAGUGCAGUAAAUAUGUACUGGAGGAGCAGACCUGCCGAUCUGUAGUGUGGGUUCUGUGGCGUAUACGGUCCCGGUGAAGCCCGUGUGUUCUGUG